CCUACGGGAGGCAGCAGUGGGGAAUAUUGGACAAUGGGGGCAACCCUGAUCCAGCCAUGCCGCGUGUGUGAAGAAGGCCCUCGGGUUGUAAAGCACUUUCAGUGAGGAAGAACGCCUGGUGGUUAAUACCCAUCAGGAAAGACAUCACUCACAGAAGAAGCACCGGCUAACUCCGUGCCAGCAGCCGCGGUAAUACGGAGGGUGCGAGCGUUAAUCGGAAUUACUGGGCGUAAAGCGCGCGUAGGUGGCUUGAUAAGCCGGUUGUGAAAGCCCCGGGCUCAACCUGGGAACGGCAUCCGGAACUGUCAGGCUAGAGUGCAGGAGAGGAAGGUAGAAUUCCCGGUGUAGCGGUGAAAUGCGUAGAGAUCGGGAGGAAUACCAGUGGCGAAGGCGGCCUUCUGGACUGACACUGACACUGAGGUGCGAAAGCGUGGGUAGCAAACAGGAUUAGAUACCCCGGUAGUC
rnacentral:rRNA from 1 species